rnacentral:lncRNA from 1 species
UUUUUUUUUUUUUCUAUUUUUUUUUUUUAAAUUCUGAAGCCAGACCGUCUUUCCUCACAGCUCCACGGCUGCAUCUCCGUGGGCACGCAAGCUUCCCCUGGUUACCUGAGCUGCUCCUGCCGUCUCCCGCCUGGGCUUCGCCGUGGUGCACCCGAUCCCGGAAUCGUGCGUCUGCGCCCUGCGAAAGAAGGACCUGCUGGCGGAGCUCCGGCCGGGGUCUCCUGCCUCGCAGCUGGGCGAGGGGACUUGGAGGACAGGGUGAAGCUGCAGAAGACCUGGGGUGGGAUGGCUAGAGAGGACGCCAAGGACUGGGGAAGGGGAAGUUAGGAAUACCUUACAUCCAAUGCCCACCCGUGCUCCGCAGGGCAAGGGCAGCCGUCGCCUCGGCCGCGUGCACCCAGCUCAGGCUGUUCCCAGGGAUUUAGUCUGGGGGGACAACCCAUGGCGAGAUGUGGUGGCAUUUUACCUCAGAGUGGAGCUGAAGAUGGAUAAACAAGGUAUCUGAUGUAUCUGCCUGAGAAGGCAGAGCUGGAGAAAGGCGGAGCGAGGGAGCGCGUGAAAAGAAAGAGAUGCCGAAUGCCGGGCUCACAGGCAGAAGGAAUUUUCCUUGUCUUGGAUGAGACUUUUGACUUGGACUUUUGGGUUAAGGAUUUACAGAAAGCGUGGUGCUGGCAUCUGAUCAGCUUCUGGGGUGGCCUCAGGAAGCUUACAAUCAUGGUGGCAUUUGAAGUGGAAGCGAGAGAGAGAAGAGGAGAUGCAACACACUUUUAAACAAGAUUUCAGGAGAACUCAUUCACUAUGUUCUGGAGACCAGAAGGCCAAAAUCAAAAGUAUGGGCAGGCUUGAUUUCUUUAGAAGACUCCAGCGGAGAACUGUGUCUCCUUGCUUCUGAUUCUACAUCUCCAUCCAUGGGCCACUGUUUCAGCAACCUCAGCCAGUGCAACACAACCUCAGCCAAGAAGAGUAUGCAGAGAAAGGAGUCCCCUACCUGCCACAAAACUGUUGUCUGAAAACUGUCUCAUAUUGUCUCAAGUUGUCAUUCAUUGUGAAUUAGACCUGUUUAACAUGUAAUCUGCAACAUGCUUCACUGUCUAAUUUUCCAGAGCCCCUCAUAUAAGGAACUGUAUUAUUGGUAUAAUCAUCAUGGUGAAGAAGUUGGUAUGUGGGGGAGAGAUGACAGAAACAGAGAGUAAGUCAGAGCUGGCUGCCUGACAGAUAAAAAGGAAAUGACCAAAAAAAAAAAAAAAGACACAGAAGAAUACUUUGUUG